UUCGCCCUUAGAGUUUGAUCCUGGCUCAGGACGAACGCUGGCGGCGUGCCUAACACAUGCAAGUCGAGCGGAGACAGUGAGUAGCUUGCUACGAACUGUUUUAGCGGCGGACGGGUGAGUAACGCGUGAGCAACCUUUCCCAGACAGGGGAAUAACACACCGAAAGGUGUACUAAUACCGCAUAAGACCACGGUUUCACAUGGAACUGAGGUAAAAGAUUUAUCGGUUUGGGGUGGGCUCGCGUCCGAUUAGGUAGUUGGUGAGGUAACGGCCCACCAAGCCGACGAUCGGUAGCCGACCUGAGAGGGUGAUCGGCCACAUUGGGACUGAGACACGGCCCAAACUCCUACGGGAGGCAGCAGUGGGGAAUAUUGGGCAAUGGGGGGAACCCUGACCCAGCAACGCCGCGUGGAGGAAGAAGGUUUUCGGAUCGUAAACUCCUGUCCUUGGAGACGAGUAGAAGACGGUAUCCAAGGAGGAAGCCCCGGCUAACUACGUGCCAGCAGCCGCGGUAAUACGUAGGGGGCAAGCGUUGUCCGGAAUAAUUGGGCGUAAAGGGCGCGUAGGCGGCUCGGUAAGUCUGGAGUGAAAGUCCUGCUUUUAAGGUGGGAAUUGCUUUGGAUACUGUCGGGCUUGAGUGCAGGAGAGGUUAGUGGAAUUCCCAGUGUAGCGGUGAAAUGCGUAGAGAUUGGGAGGAACACCAGUGGCGAAGGCGACUAACUGGACUGUAACUGACGCUGAGGCGCGAAAGUGUGGGGAGCAAACAGGAUUAGAUACCCUGGUAGUCCACACUGUAAACGAUGAAUGCUAGGUGUAAGGGAUUGUCAUGACUUCUGUGCCGCCGCUAAGGCAUUAAGUUAUUCCGCCUGGGGAGUACGGUCGCAAGAUUAAAACUCAAAAGGAAUUGACGGGGGCCCGCACAAGCAGCGGAGCAUGUGGUUUAAUUCGACGCAACGCGAAGAACCUUACCAGGUCUUGACAUCCACUUAAACUUACAGAGAUGUAAGGUGUGCUUGCACAAAGUGAGACAGGUGGUGCAUGGUUGUCGUCAGCUCGUGUCGUGAGAUGUUGGGUUAAGUCCCGCAACGAGCGCAACCCUUAUCUUCAGUUACUAACGCGUGAGGGUGAGGACUCUGAAGAGACUGCCGGGGACAACUCGGAGGAAGGUGGGGACGACGUCAAAUCAUCAUGCCCCUUAUGACCUGGGCUACACACGUGCUACAAUGGCCACGACAGAGAGAAGCGAAAUCGCAAGGUAGAGCGGAACUCAAAAAAGUGGUCCCAGUUCGGAUUGUAGGCUGAAACUCGCCUACAUGAAGCUGGAGUUGCUAGUAAUCGCGAAUCAGCAUGUCGCGGUGAAUACGUUCCCGGGCCUUGUACUCACCGCCCGUCA
rnacentral:rRNA from 1 species